CAAACACCUGACUAUCAUCUGAUGAUCACCUGACAUUCCUGGCAGGGGGCCUCUCCUGCCCUGUUCUUGUCUGCCCAGCUACUACUCUAGCACUAGCAUGCUGUCCUCAUCUGCAUGGUUGAACCUGAGUCACUGCCACAGUGUGUGACUGUCACAUCAUGUGUUCUGGCCAACAGGAAAGGGAAAGAGAACAUGAAGGAGGCCAACCCCGGAAGACACACUGUGCUAUUCCCGUUGCCUAGAACACCUUUCCUGACCUGAAGGGUCACCCCCAAACCAGCCUUCAAGAGCUUCUUUUGACCAUUGCAUCCUCAACAGGGUAAGGAGGAACAAAGAGAGGAAGGAAAAGCUACAACUCUGGAACAUCUGCUGUCAAAAUUUUGGAGGAAGGUAAAGAAAGCUUAGUAAAGAUUUUCUUUCGUAUAUCUUUUAUUUGUUCUAUCUCUAACUCACAUGAUGAAUUGUUCAACAAAUAUAUAUUGAGAGCCUACUACAUGUCAAGCAUUGUUUAAGCAUUUGGAAUAUAUUAGUGAACAAAACAGCCCUCAGCAUUGGCUCUACAAAGAGCUUUAAACAAUCAUUUCCCCUUUCUGCAUCUUAGGUCUGCAUUUGUGCAUGAACAAGAAACACUAUAAUGGAAAGCUUUAGAUCCUCAUACAAAAAUCACUGAUAAACCCAUGGAUAUAUUGUUCAUAAGUGCUGCCACUUCUGUCUAGAACCAAGAACAGUUGAGAGGAAGAGGUUACUGAUCAAAUCCGCUCUUGACCUUGUUCUCAGCUAUCCACACCAACAGGCAUUGAAUUCAUUUUUUUAACAAGGGAGUUUUAUAUACACAUGCAGCAUUCUGAGGUUUUGACUUCCUUCCUAGCUGCAAAUCUCUUUGAGGCUCCAUCUGGGACACUGAGCCCCACCCAUAUGCACCACCUUGAAGCUUCCUUUCUCUGGUUUGCUGGGGACUUUGUACGGAGAGGCUCCAUCUGGGCAUAGCAUUACACCUUUAGAGGCUGCUGGGGGCACAGGGACGAUUUCCAACAGAAACCAAGUAUAUUUGAAAGACACCAAGUCAAGCUUUUGUUUCCUUCCUACAACCUCAGCUUCUGUUGAAGUGGAAACUAGACUGGAAAUAAAGGCCACGCUGA
rnacentral:lncRNA from 10 species